CCUCCUGCUGUUGAGUCUUGAAUUUCCGCUGCUGUUCUUCAACAUGCUGCCUGAACAUCUCCUCCUCGUGUGGUUGCAGUUGAGGAUUGUGACGUUCCGUUAGCUCUUUGAAGCCCAUCAGCUGCAGCAUUUUCUCUGCUGCCAGGAACUUUGACUUUUGUUUGCUCUGACCCUGAGCCUGGCACGACACUGAACCCACUCUCACCUCUGUCGUGCAUAUACGUGUGUGCGGACUGUGGCCAUGAGUUGUUCUCCAGCAGCUCAAAGUUUCAGCACUCCUCUCCUUGGCCAGCUUUCUGUCAGACCAUUCAUCCAGACAGUGUGUCCAAACAUCCUGAAGCAUGGGGACCUUUAAAGGUUUGCUGUGGAAAGUGUGGCAAUGGUUUGGGUCAUGAGUUCUUGUAUGAUGGCCCAAAAGAAGGACUGUCACGUUUCUGAAUCUUCAGCAGUUCACUCAAGUUCAUCCCCAAAGAAAAUGAAAAGCAGCAGAAACUAAAUUUGUAGAAUGGGCCUGUUGCCAGUUGCCUAUUUUGUGGUCAGUAAAUGAAAUGUUUUGGGACAAAGUCUUUCCAAGGAGCACCAAGACACUGAUGUAAAGUGGCCUCAACAUGCAGCAACACAUGUGAGCUCAGACAAGUGAACUGAAGGUACAUUAAAUCACCUGUCUAAUUAAAAAUGAGAUGCUUAA